AGUGAACGCUGGCGGUAGGCCUAACACAUGCGAGUCGAACGGCAGCACAGUAAGAGCUUGCUCUUACGGGUGGCGAGUGGCGGACGGGUGAGGAAUACAUCGGAAUCUACUUUUUCGUGGGGGAUAACGUAGGGAAACUUACGCUAAUACCGCAUACGACCUACGGGUGAAAGCAGGGGAUCUUCGGACCUUGCGCGAUUGAAUGAGCCGAUGUCGGAUUAGCUAGUUGGCGGGGUAAAGGCCCACCAAGGCGACGAUCCGUAGCUGGUCUGAGAGGAUGAUCAGCCAGACUGGAACUGAGACACGGUCCAGACUCCCACGGGAGGCAGCAGUGGGGAAUAUUGGACAAUGGGCGCAAGCCUGGUCCAGCCAUACCGGGUGGGUGAAGAAGGCCUUCGGGUUCUAAAGCCCUUUUGUUGGGAAAGAAAAGCAGCAGGUUAAUACCCCGCUGUUCUGACGGUACCCAAAGAAUAAGCACCGGCUAACUUCGUG
rnacentral:rRNA from 1 species